UAAAUGAUGUUUUAAUACCUAUGGGGUAAGAGUAACACUAGCACUUGGACUUGGAUCAAUGGGCAAUGGAUGGUGUAAAAUACUUUUGGUGUACCUUAAAAUAAUCCAUAUAAAUAUAAUUAAGUCUAGCGUCAUAUGUAUAAAUAAAUAAUUUAUUUUAAAUGAUCGAGUGUACUAACAUGGUACAAAUCUAUUAAUGUUUGAAUUGAUAGUUAACCUCUGAAUUGAUAAUUCUUCACUCUUAACUUAACAUAAUUUUUAACAAUCUUUAUGUCAAAUAAAUAGAACUACUAACUUUUUCUUCUUUUGUUGUUUUGAAAGAAAGUUUAUGUAGUGUGAAUCGAAAUAUGAGAUAUGACUAUUUUAUUUAAUAGGUUCACAUCGUACUCCUCUUUAAACCUAGUACAUGUUUUGCACACAACAUCCUGACAUACAUCAAAGUUUUUUGUGUCAUUAAUUCAUUAUCUAAAAAAGUCUUUCUUGUAAAUUGUGUUUGGUAGAUUGUACUAUGACAUAAUCAACAGGGUUCAGUUGGCCUCUAAUAUCUUAUUAUGCUACUAGUUUACUAAACAAUCUUCUAUAUUCCCAUGAUCAUAACACUCUUUGUUCUAUUAGAGAAGAACAUCUCUCAAACCUCGAAAUUCCAACUAAGUUCUG
rnacentral:lncRNA from 1 species